rnacentral:misc_RNA from 1 species
AAGUCGUAACAAGGUUUCCGUAUGUGAACCUGCGGAAGGAUCAUUAACACUUUUAAUAAUCUAUAACAACAUAACAACGUGACACUUUAUUUAUCCCUUGCAUCAUUCAGCUAGAGAUAGCUGGGCAAGGCUAAACAACCUUUAUUAUUUUUUACACCCCAUUUUAUUUCUAUCCCUUUGUUGUGAUAGGAAUAUAAAUAACACUUUUUGUUUGGUUUAAACACCUAACAAACUAACUUAAAUAUAUUUCCCAAUCGUAAUGAUUGUGUGUAUAUUUUAAAUUAUCAAAUAUUCUAUAAGAUUAUAAACAACUCUUAGCAAUGGAUAUCUUGGUUCUC